rnacentral:lncRNA from 1 species
AUAUGACCAACUUCUGGCCAACUGAAUGAGGCACAAUUUUACAUCAUACCUGAAGCAGAGAUCUCGAGAAGAUAUAUUAUGUAAUCUGCCUUCCAGCAUCACCAAUAAACUUCUAAUUAUCCAUACAACACACUUAACAUCUCCUGAUUGAUGAGCCAAAUCCAUAGUAACAACCUCCCCUCAUCCAAAGAAGACAAGAUCAAGUUCUAAGCUAGCAGAGAACAAAAUCAUAUACUUUAUUCAAAGGCAAAUCCUAGCUGUGUGGAAGUCUAAUAAAUCAUCAUUGAAUACAGAAGGGAUUCAGCUGAAAUCUGUGCAGUCUCAGAUGUACAGCCAACACUGCAGCACUGUCCUUCAAGCCUUUGCAGGUUUACUGCUCUAAAUGUAUCAAGUCCACCUGGGAAGGCCAUCACCCGUGGUGCCUUGCAGUCUCUGAGGCCCCACUACGUGAAAUGUCCUGGUCCAUAAUCACAGUGACUUGACUAAGCACACUUUCCAUUCAUUCUUUCCCUGACUAUCAAGCUCAAGAGAUGAAAAAACUACAGAGAAGCAGGUGAAGGAUCAGUGGAAUUUCGUGGCAAAAAAAAUCACUGCUGGCACACACGGAUCAAAGGGGGAAGAUUGGUGUGUUCUGGGAAAUAAUGCACUCCUUCAGUUAAAUGCCCUGAAGUCUGGGAAGAUGAGAGUCAAGCAGGUGCAUUUCCUUCAAAUGGGCCAUAUGUAGGCAUUUAUUUAGGCAGCAAGAGCAUUGGGCUGUGAAGUAGUGACAUUCAGAUUAAUGAAGUUGAGAGGAAAGGGGCCAUGACAUGAUUGAAAUCAUUUAAAGAACAAAUAUUUAUUGAGCAUUUCAAGUCAGACAGAGCUAAUGCCAUGUGACAAGACAGAGUGUCUGUCCCCAUGGUCUAGUGUGGAAGGCAAACCAACCAGCCAUUGUAAUAGUGUGCUCAGUGCCAGAAGGCAACAGUGUGAUAAGACAAAUAGGAGGGGACUCAGAUCUAGUUUGGCAAGUGGGGAAUAGGACGGCUCUUCCUAAAAGACACUAUAGGUAAAUGGAGGUCAGAAAUAUGU